AUGCUUAUGUCGAGCGCAUAUUUUCUGACCAUUUCAUUUGUUGAUGCUAGCGUGCUCGAAGUUUUCUGGAGUAUUUUCGAUUUGCUUGCUUGUUAUAUAACAAACAUUUUAUUUGUUUGGUAUUACAUUUCUUGGUUUAUCUUUCCGCAUAUAUCGCUUUCUAGAUAUCAUGAGAAGUAUGAAAUAAAGAGCGUGCACUCGAAGUCGCUGUUUAAAGACCUGUAG